AACACGCAUGACACACUGCAUAUCAAUAAGCGGAGGAAAAGAAACUAACAAGGAUUCCCCUAGUAACGGCGAGUGAAGCGGGAAGAGCUCAAAUUUGAAAUCUUAAAGGGUUUCCCUUUACGAAUUGUAGUUUAAAGAAGUGUUUUCUGUUGAAGUUUCGGUAAAAGUUCUUUGGAAUAGGGCAUCAUAGAGGGUGAGAAUCCCGUAUUUGACCAUUAUUUCCAGCUGUGUGAUACACUUUCAAAGAGUCGGAUUGUUUGGGAAUGCAGUCCAAAAUGGGUGGUAAAUUUCAUCUAAAGCUAAAUAUUGGCGAGAGACCGAUAGCGAACAAGUACCGUGAGGGAAAGAUGAAAAGAACUUUGAAAAGAGAGUUAAACAGUACGUGAAAUUGUCAAAAGGGAAGCGUUUGACACCAGUGUUGUUUUUCCGAAAAUCAAUUACGAAUGUUUUGUUUUUAAGAAGUUAUGACUUCAUCGGCUUGCUUCUCUCUUUAUGAAACUUUCUUAAUGCACUUUUCGUUUAACAAGUCAACAUCAAUUUCUUUUGUUGUAAAAGAGUCAUUGGAAGGUGGCUUUCUUUUCGGAGAAAGUGUUUAUAGCCUUUGGCCUCUGCAAUCGGAGAGAUUGAGGUCUGCAGCGUAGAUCCUUCGGGGUUAGAUACAUUUGUGCUAAGCUAUAGCCUUUCAUAGACAACUUGUUGACUAUGAUCAGUCAUGUAGCUUACUCGCUUAUGCUAUUUUACCUACGCUUAGGAUGUUGAAGACUCUACAGAGAUA
rnacentral:rRNA from 1 species